UUGAUCUCCUGACCUCGUGAUCCGCCCCCCUUGGCCUCCCAAAGUUCUAUUUUUCAAGCAGCCUUUAUUGUUAAGCCUGUUGUGAAUCAUUUGAGAGUUUACUUAUAAUGAACUUCCACAUAAUCUUAGGUCAACAUUUGUGAUUUCAGAAUCAUCAGCAGCAAGCAAUUUGCCUUUGAUAUCUCUGUCUAAUGAGAAAAGAAGAAAUGGGAACUGAUAGGAAAACGAUGUCAUGCAGAGUGAGAGGGAAUGGCUUGCACAAGUUGAGCAUGGCAUCUGGUACAAAACAGGUGUUCAAGAAAAAGAAAAGAAACUAUCAAGGGAGUAAACAGAAAACCUACAGAAUGGAAGAAAAUAUUUGCAAACUAUGCAUCCGUCAAAGGUUUAAUAUCCCAAAUCUACGAGGAAUUUAAAUCAACAAGCAAAGAAACCAAGUAACCUCAUCAAAAAGUGUGCAAAGAACAUGAACAGACACUUCUAAAGAGAAAACAUACAAGUGGCCAAGAAACAUAUGAAAAAAGGUUCAUGAUUGCUAGUCAUCAGAGAAAUGCAAAGAAAUUGUCUCUAAAAGGCUCCUGAUGCUCCACCGGUGAGUGGUAAAGCCUGGGGAAAAUAAAUAUGACUUCUGUGACAUCAGUUAUAUUAAUGGGCACUUGGUAUGGUGUCUGACAUACAACAGUCACUCAAUUCCAUUUAGAAAUGAAUGCAAGCAUAAGGUGUCUGCAGUGUGGAGGGUGGUGCUGCCAAGAGAGGAUUAUGUGGAGAUCCCUUCUCAGUAAUAAGCCAUUCUGCAGGCUUUCCAGGAAGCAUGUUGCUGGCAUCUGCUUGGCUUCUGGGACCACCUCAGGGAGCUUUUACUCAUGGCGGAAGUCAAAGGAAGAGCAGGUGUCUCACAUGGAAAGAACAAGCAAGAGAGAAAAAUGGGGAGCCCGGUGCAGUGGCUCACGCCUGUAAUUCCAGCACU
rnacentral:lncRNA from 10 species